rnacentral:lncRNA from 1 species
GGCUGUAUAAACUACGAAUUGCUCUGACAAUAGCUUUGAGUUAAGAAAUAUGAUAGCAGUUCUAGCUUAAGUUUUCAUCCCACCUAUCUUCUGCUAACAUGAUACAAGAUGAGUUAGCACCUACACGUAAGCACAUGAAUAGUGGGGUAUGUAAACUUACGACUAAUAUGAAUACUUUUAAUUUUUGGAAUAAUUUAGAGUUAUAUGUGUGAUGAAC